GCCCUGGGGGCGCUCAGGGCGGCCGCCCGGGCGCAUGCGGGGUCCUGCGCGGGUUUGUUUGCGGGCCUGUAACGGUACCGGAAUGACUGCUUCCCCGGUGUGCAGGGCGGACUGAGCCGAGAAAUGAGAAAUGAUGCAGCCCGGGUUGCACGAGCCCGGGAACAUUUCCCUUUGCCUUUCGCUUACGGUCCUUUAAGUGCAAAGUUGAGGUGGACACCUGGGCAGGACGCGCUCUCGAGCUCUCGUGCUAAAGAAGAGGCGCCGCGGGGCAGGGCUCCCUGGGGCGCACCUCCCGGGGCUCCCUGGGCUCCAGGCAAGGUCGCAGAGGUCCCCGCCUUCCCGCGCCCCCACCCCUCUCCGAGCUGACCACCUGUGUGGACAAGGUGGGGUGCAGCCUUCACGUGGCUAAAAGUCCAGGUGUCACUUCUGGGUCGGUGUAGAACAUAAUAGGAAUAACACAUACAGAGAGAGGUCAGCUACUGAGGCAACCUCGAGAAUUCAAGACCUUUGUACAUUUCUAGAAGCUUUUGGAAGGACUUUGGACUUCAGCAGAGUGUAAAUAUGGAGUUUGAGUCAAUCUUAUUCCGAUUUCAAGGAUCAAAGACACCUCAUUCAACGGCGGAAUGAUGACUGUGGUGCUCAGUGGGAGAUUGAGAAGAAAGGGCAGUUCUCACUCUGGGAUAAAAAGAUGGUUAUUUUUGAGAAUCAGAGAUUAAAGGAAAUUGGGGGACUUACUGCCUGAUGAUCUGGAUCUCUUCUGGGAGUAGUGGACAUCACCUGCCAAGAUUCUAGCAGGGUUGAGAUGGAAUUGGUGACCGGGGAUUGGGGAGGGAUUUUAGAGGAUUCAUCAUGGGCGGUCUCAUCAAGAUGGCAAUAGCAGAGCAGGAAGGAUUGGGGAGCGCGAACCAAGAGCCCCCUUAAAUCAAGUAGCCUGAUGUUGGUGGAUCCGGAGGGUGCAGUCUUGCCUCUCCCCGGAAUCCUCUCAGGGCCCCUAAGUUAUAAUGUAAAAAGUGAGAAUGAUCCCUGAUUGGAGAGGGAGUCUACUUGGUUUGAGGGGAAAUGUGUCAGUAUUGCUGAUAGUGGCAGAGAGAGAGAGAGAGAGAGAGACCUCCUGUGUGUGUGUGUGUGUGUGUGUGUGUGAGAGAGAGAGAGAGAGAGAGAGCCGGAGAGCUAACACUUGCAAGUGGGAGGUUUUGAGAGACUGGACCUCCCAGUGAAGGCAGAUGCUCCUUUAGAGGAAGUCAGGACAAAAGAGGUGGAAAGUACAGAGGCUG
rnacentral:lncRNA from 1 species